rnacentral:lncRNA from 1 species
AUAGUCUUGAUCUUACAAUAUAUGAUAUGACAACUUAUCGUUCAAAAGCUAAAUCUUUCUUCGAAAUGGUGCAACAUACAAGCGCUUUCUUUUCAUCAUCUAGUAAACGAUGAAAAAUUUCAAAGAUAAUGUAAAUGACUUAUGUAACACCCCAAAUUUUUACCUUUAGAAUCAUUAUACAUGUAUAGUAAAAGAAUAAUUCAUAAACAAAAGAAAAACAUAAUUUUUUUCUUAACAUGCGAGAAUUUAAAAUUAGUUUUAAGAAAAAUACAAUGAACAUUAUUAAAUUCCUUAACUACAUAAUUUAUUCUUCCUUUUUCACCUACGCAAGCACAAUUCACCUCUGAUCGCCUUGAACUCGCAUUUUAAGUUGCCUUGUCUAGUUGGUACUAAAAUUCAACUUAAAUCUCUCAUUAGACAGAUGUUUUGGAUUCGAAUCCUCGAUGACGCGAUAGAAAACCGUGAGGAGUUAAGUGGACAAAUGUUCAUUUAAAGCGGGCAGUACGUAUGAUAUAACAGUUUCGGCAUACAAGACAGGUCGUUACAACUUAACCCUUAAACCCUUAUCACAAAUGCCAUUUAAAUGUAAAAUGCUCUAUAUCAAUUGACAAGUAUUUAUGAUCCUAAAACAAGAAGUGAGAUAGAAUGUGCGACAACAUAUGAAAUUGAGAAUUUUUAAUUCUUAUUUGGGAUGGUUAUUUGGUAUGAAGUGUUGAAUAUUGUUAACAAGGUAAAGCAAACACUUGCAAAUAGAAGACAUGCAUAUUGAUGUUGUUAUAGACCAUUUAUAAUUGCUCAUUUCAUUUUUUAAAAGAUAGGCUUGAAUUGGCCAAUAUUGAUGCAAAAGAAAUAGCAAGUGAAAUAUAAAUUGAACCAAUAUUUUGUGAAAAACGAGUUGUACACAUAAAGAAGCAAUUUUAUGAACUUCUUGUGAAGAAAUGACAUAAAUAGUUGAAGAAUCUUUCAGAGUAAAUUAUUUCAUAUAUACAAUAGAUCAAAA